rnacentral:tRNA from 1 species
GAAACCUUAGUUAAAUUAUAACAUUAAUUUGUCAAAUUAAAAUUAUUCCACAAAUAGAUUUCU